CUGCCAACUGCCAACUUCACUUUUAAACUCUGGCACAUGCUCAUUUACAUAUGACCAAUCCGGUCGCUGCUAUGUAAAUUAGCUUCUCUCUUGAUGUCAGAUUCCGAGUGCUACAAAAUGGCGGUUCACCCACCAACCCUGCAAGUUCAGCAGUGUACAACACAGCAGAAGUUUUUGGUAGAUUGUAGGCAUUACACUGUACUGCAAAUGAUAUUGACAAAAGUGGUACACACACAAGUUGGUCCAUAUGUGCUACUAUGAUGGAUAUAAAGAGCAUUGUGAUUACCGGUAUAUUGACACAUGACAAUUCAUUUAUAGGUAAGCCAGAGAAAAGGGGAAAAAACAAACCUAGCAAAAGUUUCUGGAUUUAAGGCUUGCAGCUGGCAGCUGGCAAAAUUGCACACCCAAAGGCAUGAUUGCAAUGUGAUAUGUGUAAUAUGCAAAUAUCUGAUUGUGCGUUUGUGUACAUGGAAAGAGGGGGAAAGAUGAUGAGAAGCUUUGAACUGGUAGACAAUGUUGGAAUCCUUGAAAAUUCUGUGAAUGUAACAAAGAACAGCCUCAUCUCACAGCAACAAUGGCUGUCAAAGAAUGAUAUCCUAUUACAGCAUCAGCACCAAAAUCACAGCAAUUCUUAUCAAGCAUCAUCACUCUGUGCCUCUGCUCCCCUUCCUUUUACCCCUGGCAAGCACACUGAACACCCACCCACACUGCAAUAA
rnacentral:lncRNA from 11 species